rnacentral:misc_RNA from 1 species
UUCAGGCUAAGAAAGCCUGUCCAUUAAACAUUGAGGUUAAUGUAGCUGAACAUGGUUGACGCACAAUCAUUGGUCAAGUCAUUCAAAACAUCUGCGUAUGGACAAGCAAAGUCCUUGAAUGCUGAACAACAGCGAUCACGAGGAUACUGAGGUCCUUUACAUUGGCUUAUGAUGACCGUAUAGUUCAGAAACUCAAAGUUUAAUGGACAGGCUUUCUUAGCCUGAAGCAGAUUCCUGCCUGUGGAAGCAUGGGAUUGAAAAACCGAAUCUGAAAUAAAACUGGAAGCAAAAGAACGAGGAGCAAAGACAACCAUCAACAGGAAGAAGAAGAAGACAAAUACAGAAACCCGAUUCAACUCCAUUUUUGUUUACUAUGUAUAUAUGAAAGGGAGAGAUCUCCCCUCUGCACUUGUUCUUUCUGUUCUUGUGGGUUGGCUCUAUUUGAGAUAUUUGGGUUGUAAAAUAUAGUUUAAAGCAUUAAAGAUCUGGAAAGAGUCAGAAAACAUCAAGGGCAAGGGUCAUCUGAUGAUGGAGAAGUGGUUGACAGCAAAUAACGCCGAAGGUACAGCUCACAGCCGCUUUUUUCUUCCUCUUGAG